rnacentral:rRNA from 1 species
UACGUAGGCAGCAAGCGUUGUUCGGAAUUACUGGGCGUAAAGGGUGCGUAGGCGGUUGUUUAAGUUUGGUGUGAAAUCCCCGGGCUCAACCUGGGAACUGCAUCUGUGACUGUAUAGCUAGAGUACGGUAGAGGGGAUGGAAUUCCGCGUGUAGCAGUGAAAUGCGUAGAUAUGCGGAGGAACACCGAUGGCGAAGGCAAUCCCCUGGACCUGUACUGACGCUCAUGCACGAAAGGCGUGGGGAGCAAACAGG